UAUUUCUUGGUACAACAUAUCAUUACUAAAAUGGAACAGUUUAGAAAAGAUUCACAUGGCUCCUACACAAGAAUGAAACGCAAAUUUUCAAAGGUUGAAUGUUUUUU